AGAGUUUGAUCCUGGCUCAGGAUGAACGCUGGCGGCGUGCCUAAUACAUGCAAGUCGAGCGAACGGACGAGAAGCUUGCUUCUCUGAUGUUAGCGGCGGACGGGUGAGUAACACGUGGAUAACCUACCUAUAAGACUGGGAUAACUUCGGGAAACCGGAGCUAAUACCGGAUAAUAUUUUGAACCGCAUGGUUCAAAAGUGAAAGACGGUCUUGCUGUCACUUAUAGAUGGAUCCGCGCUGCAUUAGCUAGUUGGUAAGGUAACGGCUUACCAAGGCAACGAUGCAUAGCCGACCUGAGAGGGUGAUCGGCCACACUGGAACUGAGACACGGUCCAGACUCCUACGGGAGGCAGCAGUAGGGAAUCUUCCGCAAUGGGCGAAAGCCUGACGGAGCAACGCCGCGUGAGUGAUGAAGGUCUUCGGAUCGUAAAACUCUGUUAUUAGGGAAGAACAUAUGUGUAAGUAACUGUGCACAUCUUGACGGUACCUAAUCAGAAAGCCACGGCUAACUACGUGCCAGCAGCCGCGGUAAUACGUAGGUGGCAAGCGUUAUCCGGAAUUAUUGGGCGUAAAGCGCGCGUAGGCGGUUUUUUAAGUCUGAUGUGAAAGCCCACGGCUCAACCGUGGAGGGUCAUUGGAAACUGGAAAACUUGAGUGCAGAAGAGGAAAGUGGAAUUCCAUGUGUAGCGGUGAAAUGCGCAGAGAUAUGGAGGAACACCAGUGGCGAAGGCGACUUUCUGGUCUGUAACUGACGCUGAUGUGCGAAAGCGUGGGGAUCAAACAGGAUUAGAUACCCUGGUAGUCCACGCCGUAAACGAUGAGUGCUAAGUGUUAGGGGGUUUCCGCCCCUUAGUGCUGCAGCUAACGCAUUAAGCACUCCGCCUGGGGAGUACGACCGCAAGGUUGAAACUCAAAGGAAUUGACGGGGACCCGCACAAGCGGUGGAGCAUGUGGUUUAAUUCGAAGCAACGCGAAGAACCUUACCAAAUCUUGACAUCCUUUGACAACUCUAGAGAUAGAGCCUUCCCCUUCGGGGGACAAAGUGACAGGUGGUGCAUGGUUGUCGUCAGCUCGUGUCGUGAGAUGUUGGGUUAAGUCCCGCAACGAGCGCAACCCUUAAGCUUAGUUGCCAUCAUUAAGUUGGGCACUCUAAGUUGACUGCCGGUGACAAACCGGAGGAAGGUGGGGAUGACGUCAAAUCAUCAUGCCCCUUAUGAUUUGGGCUACACACGUGCUACAAUGGACAAUACAAAGGGCAGCGAAACCGCGAGGUCAAGCAAAUCCCAUAAAGUUGUUCUCAGUUCGGAUUGUAGUCUGCAACUCGACUACAUGAAGCUGGAAUCGCUAGUAAUCGUAGAUCAGCAUGCUACGGUGAAUACGUUCCCGGGUCUUGUACACACCGCCCGUCACACCACGAGAGUUUGUAACACCCGAAGCCGGUGGAGUAACCUUUUAGGAGCUAGCCGUCGAAGGUGGGACAAAUGAUUGGGGUGAAGUCGUAACAAGGUAGCCGUAUCGGAAGGUGCGGCUAGAUCACCU
rnacentral:rRNA from 1 species